rnacentral:rRNA from 1 species
AACGAACGCUGGCGGCGUGGAUAAGACAUGCAAGUGGGACGCUGACUGUUGGGUAGCGAUAUUUAACAGUUGGAGUCGCGUAAGGGUGCGUAACACGUGGGCAAUCUGCCGCGAAGACCGGAAUAACUUGUUGAAAGGCGAGCUAAUACUGGAUAUGAACGCGAAGGAGCAUUCCUUUGCGCUCAAAGUCGGGGACCGUAAGGCCUGGCACUUCGCGAUGAGCCCGCGGCCUAUCAGCUAGUUGGUAAGGUAAUGGCUUACCAAGGCAAAGACGGGUAGCUGGUCUGAGAGGACGACCAGCCACACUGGAACUGAGACACGGUCCAGACACCUACGGGUGGCAG